rnacentral:rRNA from 1 species
GUCGACGAGCCGAGGGGAGCUUGCUCCCCAGAGCUAGUGGCGGACGGGUGAGUAACACGUGAGCAACCUGCCUUUCAGAGGGGGAUAACGUUUGGAAACGAACGCUAAUACCGCAUAACAUACCGGGACCGCAUGAUUCUGGUAUCAAAGGAGCAAUCCGCUGAAAGAUGGGCUCGCGUCCGAUUAGCUAGUUGGCGGGGUAACGGCCCACCAAGGCGACGAUCGGUAGCCGGACUGAGAGGUUGAUCGGCCACAUUGGGACUGAGACACGGCCCAGACUCCUACGGGAGGCAGCAGUGGGGGAUAUUGCACAAUGGAGGAAACUCUGAUGCAGCGACGCCGCGUGAGGGAAGACGGUCUUCGGAUUGUAAACCUCUGUCUUUGGGGACGAUAAUGACGGUACCCAAGGAGGAAGCUCCGGCUAACUACGUGCCAGCAGCCGCGGUAAUACGUAGGGAGCGAGCGUUGUCCGGAAUUACUGGGUGUAAAGGGAGCGUAGGCGGGGUCUCAAGUCGAAUGUUAAAUCUACCGGCUCAACUGGUAGCUGCGUUCGAAACUGGGGCUCUUGAGUGAAGUAGAGGCAGGCGGAAUUCCUAGUGUAGCGGUGAAAUGCGUAGAUAUUAGGAGGAACACCAGUGGCGAAGGCGGCCUGCUGGGCUUUUACUGACGCU